UACGUAGGCAGCGAGCGUUGUUCGGAGUUACUGGGCGUAAAGAGUGCGUAGGUGGUUUUCUAAGUUUGGUGUGAAAUCUCCCGGCUUAACUGGGAGGGUGCGCCGAAAACUGGGAGACUGGAGUGUGGGAGAGGAAAGCGGAAUUCCUGGUGUAGCGGUGAAAUGCGUAGAUAUCAGGAGGAACACCUGCGGUGUAGACGGCUUUCUGGACCACUACUGACACUGAGGCACGAAAGCGUGGGUAGCAAACAGG
rnacentral:rRNA from 1 species